rnacentral:rRNA from 1 species
AACGCUAGCGGCAGGCUUAACACAUGCAAGUCGAACGAAGUUCUUCGGAACUUAGUGGCGAACGGGUGAGUAACACGUAGGUAAUGUACCCUUUGGUUGGAGGAUAACUCAGGGAAACCUGAGCUAAUACUGCAUAUGUCCUUCGGGAUAAAAGUCUUCGGACGCCUUAGGAGCAGCCUGCGGCCCAUUAUCUAAUCCUAGUUGGUAGGGUAACGGCCUACCAAGGGUACGAUGGGUAGCUGGUCUGAGAGGAUGAUCAGCCACACUGGGACUGAGACACGGCCCAGACUCCUACGGGAGGCAGCAGUGGGGAAUAUUGCGCAAUGGGGGAAACCCUGACGCAGCCAUGCCGCGUGUGUGAUGAAGGCCCUCGGGUCGUAAAGCACUGUCGGGAGGGACGAAGAUCUGACGGUACCUCGCAAGAAAGCACCGGCUAACUCCGUG